rnacentral:rRNA from 1 species
GACGAACGCUGGCGGCGUGCUUAACACAUGCAAGUCGAACGGACAGGCCAUGCUUUUGUUGGGCGCACGAGUGGCGAACGGGUGUGUAACACGUGAGUAAAAUGCACUUGACUUUGGGAUAACAUCAGGAAACUGGGGCUAAUACCGGGUAGGAGCUAUUGAUGCAUGGUGGGGGAUGGAAAGUGUCGGCGGUUGGGGAUGGACUCGCAGCUUAUCAGCUUGUUGGUGGGGUAGUGGCUUACCAAGGCUUUGACGGGUAGCCGGCCUUAGAGGUUGACCGGCCACAUUGGUACUGAGGGACGGCCCAGACGCCUACGUUACGCAGCAGUGGGGAAUAUUGCACAACGGGCCGACGCCUGAUGCAGCAACGUCGCGAGCGUAAUGACGUCCUAUGGGGGGUAAACCGCUUUCUCCUGUGAUGAACCCGUAUUGACGGUAAUGGGUAAGGAAGCACCGGCUAACUACGUG